UACGAGGGGGGCAAGCGUUGUUCGGAAUUAUUGGGCGUAAAGGGCGCGUAGGCGGUUUGACAAGUCUGAUGUGAAAUCUAUGGGCUCAACCCAUAGCCUGCAUUAGAAACUGUCGGGCUUGAGUAUGGGAGAGGUGAGUGGAAUUUCCGGUGUAGCGGUGAAAUGCGUAGAUAUCGGAAGGAACACCUGUGGCGAAAGCGGCUCACUGGACCAUAACUGACGCUGAGGCGCGAAAGCUAGGGGAGCAAACAGGG
rnacentral:rRNA from 1 species